CAAACGGCCCUUUUCAGGGCCACCGAAUGCCUUUAACUGCAAUAAG
rfam:Trichuris suis scaffold47.3, whole genome shotgun sequence.